AUUGAUGUCACAAACUAUAGUAGC
rnacentral:miRNA from 1 species